rnacentral:rRNA from 1 species
AUCACUGGUGUUCGGGUUGUCAUGCCAAUGGCACUGCCCGGUAGCUAAAUGCGGAAGAGAUAAGUGCUGAAAGCAUCUAAGCACGAAACUUGCCCCGAGAUGAGUUCUCCCUGAGACUAUAAGUCUCCUGAAGGAACGUUGAAGACGACGACGUUGAUAGGCCGGGUGUGUAAGCGCAGCGAUGCGUUGAGCUAACCGGUACUAAUGAACCGUGAGGCUUAACCUU